AGUCGUCAUGGCGACUUUAAAUAGACAUUUAAGCCAUGAGCGUUACAUAAAUUUUAUUUUAUGUAGGUUGUU
rnacentral:ribozyme from 1 species